rnacentral:rRNA from 1 species
UACGGGGGGGGCAAGCGUUGUUCGGAAUUACUGGGCGUAAAGCGCUCGCAGGUGGUUCGAUGCGUCGUGCGUGAAAGACCCCGGCUCAACUGGGGAGGGUCGUGCGAUACGGUCGAACUAGAGGCCAGUAGGGGGAUGCGGAAUUCCGGGUGUAGUGGUGGAAUGCGUAGGAGAUCCGGAGGAACACCAGCGGCGAAGGCGGAGCAUCC